GUCAUUUCGGCGCAGGUCUCCGCCAUCUUGUCAAAGCACCUUGUUCAGCGUUCCGUGGACACAUGAUGUGGGUAUUUAAUAGUGGAAAAUCUUCUUUCUCUAUGUGGAAAUUCAUCUUCAUCGCUGGUCGGAAACGUGCCAUGCUUCAUCCCUCCGGUUACCCAGGAAUCGUGGGAGCUGCAACAGGUGGAAAGCCUCCAACAGAUCGACGUGGGGGCUCAAUGGACUGGUGUGACCCGGCUGCACGGACGCUGAGACUUUCGGAUCCGGUAUGAAACUUGCAGGUCGUAGAUGACAGGUGAAACAACUUUAACAACGGUAAACGGUCCGGAAAACUUCGGAGCC